UUUAACUGAGCGUUCAGUUACUUGACGUAGACCCGAAACCGGGCGACCUACCCAUGAGCAGGAUGAAGCGAAAGUAAAAUUUCGUGGAGGUCCGAACCCACGAGCGUUGAAAAGCUCGGGGAUGACUUGUGGGUAGCGGUGAAAUUCCAAUCGAGCCCGGAGAUAGCUGGUUCUCCCCGAAAUAGCUUUAGGGCUAGCCUCAAGGUGAGAGAUACGGAGGUAGAGCACUGAAUGUCCUAGGGGGUAUUGCACCUACCGAAGACUAUCAAACUCCGAAUGCCGUCAUCUUAUACUUGGGAGUCAGACUGUGGGUGAUAAGAUUCAUAGUCGAAAGGGCAACAGCCCAGAUCGUCAGCUAAGGUCCCUAAAUGUAAGUUAAGUGGUAAAGGAUGUGGGAUUGCACAGACAACCAGGAUGUUGGCUUAGAAGCAGCCACUCAUUCAAAGAGUGCGUAAUAGCUCACUGGUCGAGUGAUCCUGCGCCGAAGAUUUCCGGGGCUAAAACUUACUACCGAAGCUACGGCAUCAGUAAUGAUGGGUAGGGGAGCUUCCCAUACGGGUUGAAGCAUGACCGUAAGGACAUGUGGACAGUAUGGGAGUGAGAAUGUUGGCAUGAGUAGCGAGAUGUGGGUGAGAAUCCCACAGGCCGUAAACCCAAGGUUUCCAGGGGAAGGUUCGUCCGCCCUGGGUUAGUCGGGACCUAAGCUGAGGCCGAAAGGCGUAGGUGAUGGACAACAGGUUGAUAUUCCUGUACUACCGAUAACCGUUUGAGAGAAGG
rnacentral:rRNA from 1 species